UGGCCCAAAAAAGACGCGCACGCGCCGGCCCUCCAUCAGAUAGCGCCGCCGCCCCCAAAUCGACCCCCAAAUCCUUCGUGCCCUCCACCAGACACCGCCGUCGCCGCCCCCAACCAGACCGCCGCCGCCGUCGCCCCCAACCGUCCCAUCCGCCCUAACCAUCCCGCCGCCGCCGAACGCCCUCCACCCGGAGCACUUGCGCCGUCGCCCCAAACCACGCCAGAGCGGCGGCGCCAAGCACCGAAUUGACCGCAGCCGCCAACCACUCCAGAUCCAAGCCGGCGGCCGCCCUCCACCCAGACCACUGCCGCCCCCCUCCCCAACCACUCCAGAGCGGCGCCACCGAGCCGCCACUCCAGACCGCAAGCGGCGACCACCCUCCUCCGCCGAAUGUCUUCCCUCACCACCACCCAUCUCGCGAGCUUCCUCCCCGACCAGGCCUCCUCCCCACAAGCUUCACCGGAGAACCAAGCGGGGACCCCUCCUCUACGUCCUCUACCCCAGGCAGCGGAGCGUCGACCCUCCUCGCGAGCAGCUCUGCCUUUCCCUGGACACCGCUGCCUUCUCUACUUCCUUGCUCCAACCACGAGAAUUUGACAGGGGAGUGGAGUUUGGGGGGCGUGCGUUCCGGCCGGCCCCUGGUUGUGCGAUGCCAGAUCUGCGCGGGAUGUCGGCGAGCGGCUGGUGCCAGGCCUAGUGUGCCGCUGCCUGCUGCAGCCAUGAGAAAUAGCGUGCUACUACAUGCUCGUGCCGGCUACAUGGAUUGUUCGUAUUCUUAGUGGGCUAUGCUUUGAUGCAUAGGUAAAAUUAAAAGUGCCAAAAACCUGGGUGCCCAUGGCCUAGUUUGGCCCCAACAAAGCUCCCCCCCUGGUUAGCAAACAAUAAAUAGGUUUGCUUUGAUGGUGUACUGAAGAUUACAAGUAUUGUAGAUAAUACACUUUGUUCAUUUCAAGUAUUAGUUAAUUAAUUGUUUCUGCUUCACAUUGCUCGAAGACUUGCGAAGCAGUUUUAUGUGUUCUGUAGGGGUGGUAUGCAUCUCUUAUUUUAUUUCUCGGAAAUAAAGGCUAAGAAUAUGACUAUCUGCAUGUCCUACCAAAUCAUUAUGCCUUCCAACAUUAAGCAAAGUGUAUGAGGCCUAGACUUUGAAUAUUUCCUAUAUUUGAUGGUAGAGUUGUAGCAACUUCCCAGAUUUCUCAAUAUCAUGUCCAAUAGUGUUUAUAGUCUUUCUUUCAUAGAUUUUUACUCACACUUUAAAAGUGUUAUUAACCAAAUUUAUGCGAGCUUAAUGGAGCAUUUGAGUUACACCAAAAUGUCCAAUAGCAAUGGAUUCUGUACAUUGAUAAAAGUCAACAUAUUGCCGGUUAAAUCUGUUUUCACCAAAAUGGUAGAAUUAUAUGUUACACUGUGCGCAUCAUAAUAUUUAGAUUUCUAUAUGCCUUUAACUACAUUGACUUUGUCAAAACAAUAUUCUGCACUAGAAACAGUACAAGAUAUCUCUGAGUCAACUUAUGUAUGCAGAUUGUUAAUAUGAGGCGAAAAACUUUAUCUCAAGUUAUUAUAUGACCUUAGUUACUGCAGUUUUCAGUAUGGUUGCUCUUGCCAGUCGACUUAGCUUAGCCUCCAUUUCUGAAUGUUUUGAAUUGAUUUCUCUUCCUGUGUUUGUCGCUCUUCCUAUUUCCAUUCCCGAUGCCAUAGUAAUAUAUAAUUGUUUCUGAUGAAUAUAAGACAUUCAGUGUGCUUAAGGACAUGGGCGAAAUCAAGUAUAAUUUUAAGAGGAGCAUUUAUGAGAUCGAGCAGCUACAUGAUUUCUCAAUGCAAAGCUCCUACCUGUGUUUGUGCACUUAUUCUUCCAAUAUAUUCUUAGGAUAUGCCUAACUACAGUGUGACAGCUCCUACCUGUGUUUGUGCACUUAUUCUUCCAAUAUAUUCUUAGGAUAUGCCUAACUACAGCUUUGUCACAUGGAUUCCUCCUUAUUUUGUUAUCAACUCACUUGAACUCAAAGUGGUCGGACCCUUCCCCGGACCCUGCGCAAGCGGGAGCUAUAUGCACCGGGCUGCCCUUUUUUUUUGUUAAUGUUACUGACUUGAAUUGUUUCUAUACCUCAUUCUCAACUAUAUGCUCUAGAUUAUUAUGUUAUAGUUUAAAAUUCAAAUAUAAAGAUAAUUACAAUUGUGAUCUGAUUCACAACCUAUAUACAGGAACCUGCACCAUUUUAGUCCAUUUUAAUCUGUAUCCAUUUUAGUAAACAACAAAGUUAGGCAAAAUGGGAAUACAGAGGAAAAAUGAAAUAGCCCACCUAAAGAUUUCCCCGUAACCAUUUUGAUUUGUAUAAGUGGUAAUUUAACCUUCCAGUAUGCAGAUAUUGUGACUUCACUUAGGAUGGCAGAUCUCAGGCUCCUUAAGCAAGCCCUUGAUAGACAUGAAGACCACUAAGUUCACAUAUUUGUGUCCUGAAAAAGUUUCGGCCCUCUGCUGUCACUGAUUGCGUCCUACUUUUUUGUACAGGGACACUGGUUGCUUUGCAUGGACACUGAUUGCUUAUUUCUCUUGCAGCGUUACUAAAAUGCGGUGUCUACCUUGUGUUGGACAAACUUGAACUCCAGGUUUACCGGAGAUUAGUGAAGAAAAUCCAUAUCAUCCAGAGGGAGAAGGAACCAUCUAAGGCAAAUCAAAUCAAGCUAGAGGUCUCUGCAACCAUUUUAGUCGAGUAGCAGUUUUGCAAAAGGUGACCGUGGCAAACAUUUUAUCCUGUUACAAGCACAUUAGAUGAAAUGGCGUUUAUUGUUGGUGGCUUAUUUGUAUGCCUAACAAGUUGGGUGCUUUUCUUCAGGGUAUGUCAUAACCUCAACCUUUAGGUUACUAUAAACAAGUUUAGAACGACAAGAAUAUCAAAUUAUAACUUUUUACUGUUUUGUUACUAUAACUGGAAUGGAAUGAGCUGUGUACGUUAGCCUGAUUCAAAUCCUUUUCAUCUCCAAUGAACGAUCUGUGUACAACAUCAGCCUUCAUUCAAACUCCAUUUACUGAAUAAUUUCACAGCGUGUUCUGCUACAGCCAACGCCCAACAGCAAGGCAAACAAAGAAGGCAUUAAAACACUUGUCCUUAUGUGAUGUAAAAAUUGCAUUUUAUUGUGCUUCCAGUACUAGUUGCAUGUUCAUAUGUUACAACAGGUUUAUUAAGCUAUGAGAGCUCCAUUUUGAGUUUCCGUUCUGUUGCAGGUUUCCCAAAGAUACACUACUUGAUGGAGAUUUGGAUGAUCUACAAGCUGCUGAAGGUUUGCAAGAUCAACUAUUAAGUUGGUGGAGUGAUAAUGUAAUGCGCCUUGUUUGGUGAACUUGGAGACAUUGGCAAGUUCUGCUCAUUUUGGUGGUUGUUUUGGCACAUAGGCCACUAUAUGGCCAUUUUGGUUGCGUGACACAUUUAGAAACAUAUAUACUUCUCCCUUUGUGGAACUACUUCAUUUUGGUUGUGUGGCACGUGUAUCUAGAAACAUUUAUGUACUCUUUUUGUGGCACAAUCUGCUUAUAUACGUUCUUAUGUUUA